CGCGACGAUAGGGGGCGGGGAAGAAGGGGGAAGUGUACCUCUCCCUCACUCACGGCACCACCGCGAGGGGGAGUGGGGGCUACAAGGGGGCGGAGAGAAGAGUCCAGACGUCCCACAUCCUGAGGGCGCGUUUCAGCCUCGUGGAGUUGCAUGGAUCAGGAAAAUCUUGCAAUCGGAAAACAGCAGCAUCCACGUAAUUUCAAUAUAGGUAUAGACAUUUACCUGAACUCAUCACCUUCCCACCCCCAUCCCAUCCCAUCGACUCUGUGCUGUAUCCUGAACCGGCUGACAGAACAAUGAUGUAGACUUGACUCGUUUUCGCCAACCUGGAAUGAAGCAAAGUUCUUGUGCACCCAAGAUCUGCUCUCUCUUGUAAAUCCUGUUCAGACCUGGUCAUUGCUCUGGAUAAAUAAAGAACCGGAAUCUUUCUCAUCCAAA